GAUGAACGCUAGCUACAGGCUUAACACAUGCAAGUCGAGGGGCAGCAUGAACUUAGCUUGCUAAGUUUGAUGGCGACCGGCGCACGGGUGAGUAACACGUAUCCAACCUGCCGAUGACUCGGGGAUAGCCUUUCGAAAGAAAGAUUAAUACCCGAUGGCAUAGUUCUUCCGCAUGGUAGAACUAUUAAAGAAUUUCGGUCAUCGAUGGGGAUGCGUUCCAUUAGGUUGUUGGCGGGGUAACGGCCCACCAAGCCUUCGAUGGAUAGGGGUUCUGAGAGGAAGGUCCCCCACAUUGGAACUGAGACACGGUCCAAAACUCCUACGGGAGGCAGCAGUGAGGAAUAUUGGUCAAUGGACGAGAGUCUGAACCAGCCAAGUAGCGUGCAGGAUGACGGCCCUAUGGGUUGUAAACUGCUUUUAUAAGGGAAUAAAGUGGGAGUCGUGACUCUUUUUGCUAUGUAUCUUAUG
rnacentral:rRNA from 1 species